rnacentral:rRNA from 1 species
AUGAUACCCUGGGGUGGAUGUAAAGCCAAGCAAAUUGCUUCCGCGCCGAGAAACGAAGAUUGUGUGGGUUGUAAGAGAUGUGAAUCUGCCUGCCCGACAGAUUUUUUAAGUGUCCCCGUGAGUUGUGUAUUCACUCCAAUAAUACUAUUGUCAAGUAUCUUUAGGGAUGAAGAUCUCGGCAAGAUAUGA